rnacentral:rRNA from 1 species
AACGAACGCUGGCGGCAGGCCUAACACAUGCAAGUCGAGCGCCCUUUCGGGGGAGCGGCGGCCGGGUGAGUAACGCGUGGGAAUAUGCCCUUCUCUACGGAAUAGCCUCGGGAAACUGAGAGUAAUACCGUAUACGCUCUGUGGGGGAAAGAUUUAUCGGGGAAGGAUUAGCCCGCGUUGGAUUAGGUAGUUGGUGGGGUAAUGGCCUACCAAGCCGACGAUCCAUAGCUGGUUUGAGAGGAUGAUCAGCCACACUGGGACUGAGACACGGCCCAGACUCCUACGGGAGGCAGCAGUGGGGAAUCUUAGACAAUGGGGGCAACCCUGAUCUAGCCAUGCCGCGUGAGUGAUGAAGGCCUUAGGGUUGUAAAGCUCUUUCAGCUGGGAAGAUAAUGACGGUACCAGCAGAAGAAGCCCCGGCUAACUCCGUG